rnacentral:pre_miRNA from 1 species
CCAGGGAAGAGGAAGAAUGAGAUGGUUCAAGAGCAGUAGGGAUGGGAACAUGGAGGAAAGCAUGAGCCUAGCAUUUGAGAUUCGGUUUUGUGUUUUCCUGAUGCCUCCCAUUCCUAUUGUUCUUGGGUGCUCCUUCCCCUUCCUUCUUGGU